UACAUCUCUCCUUUCGCUCCAACGGGGCAAUCGGCGUGAAGACGGGCUCGGGAAUGCAAUGCCCUCUGCCCCCUGGUCGGAAGUGACGUGCCACGGGCGCUGGGAAGGCGGAAAUCGCGUGUAGAGCGUGGCGGCCGUGAUGAAGGUGCCACGAAGAUACACAAUGUCAUCUGACUCAGAGGAAGAAAAUGGAGUCAGGCAUGAGAAGGAUGACAGUGAUGGGGGCAACUAUGAUGGCAGAUCAAGAUCCCACUCUAGGUCAGCAUCUCCAGGAGAUCAAAGGUCAAAUCGGCAAAAUAUGUCUGACAGAGAGGACUCAGUGGAGGGGAGGGAGAAUGGGAUGAGAGGGGAGUCAGAUACAGAAGAAAACAGAGGCCAAAAAGAGUCCAGUCACUCGAGGACUCCUGAGGAUAAGGAAAUGAUUGAGUGGAGUGGCGAGGCAGCAGAAAAGAGAUGCUCGCGCAGCAGAAGUGACGAAGCUGAGGAUAAAGUGGCAUCUCGUAGUCGUAGUAAGAGUAAGCAGAGGGAAGUAGACACCAGUAAAGAAAGGAAAUCUAGUUCGUCGUCGUCAAAAAAGAAAUCUCGAUCCAGAAGAUCUCGUUCACGGUCAAGGAGCAAGAAGCGAUCUCACUCUCGAAGUAGAAGAUCUCGCUCCAGAAGUCGUAAGAAAUCCAGAUCGAGGUCCCGAUCUCGUGGAUCAAGACGACGAUCACGAUCUCGGUCAAGAAGGCGUUCAAGAUCUCGAUCUAGAAGUGGAACGCCGGUAGAUGGAGCUCGUCUUCACGUAGCUGAGCUAGAUGUUGAUACACGCAAGAGGGACUUAGAGCGAGUGUUUGAGAAAUAUGGCAGACUGCGGGAGAUCUGGAUGGCUCGGAAUCCACCUUGCUUUGCGUUUGUGGUUUAUGCACAUCAGAAGGAUGCAGAUAGAGCACUUAAGGAAACUGAUGGAAUAAUGAUUGGCCACUGCCGCAUCAAGGUCACUCAAGCAAGGCCUCGUGUUCGUGGUGGACGCAUGAGAGGAGCUUAUGACCCAAAUCUGCGGUGUUACCAGUGUGGUGAACUAGGUCACUUUUCUAGAAAUUGCACAGACACCAAGUUUGGCUAUAAGCGACCCCCAACUCCACCAGGGAUGUGUUAUGGUUUGGUAUUGUGGUCAUGUGGUUGGGUUAUUGGUGCGGUGGGGAGAGGCGCCUCCAGAGUGCCUUGAGAAGCGUCAUGAUGGCACAGCUGCGGUGGCACGGCCGCGCUCACUUCAAACUUGAGAUGAUUUAGGUGGACCUUGGUGUCACUUCAUUUGACGUACCAGUUUGUAAAGUUGUGCCGCGCAGUCAGUGAUUUGAGGGAAAGUAUGUUUGGGAGCUGCCAGAUCUUGAAGACCUCCUCCUUUGUGGUUGUUGAUGAGAGUGUAGGAUGCAGAGUGUCCACGCGAAGAUAUUGCUUGUGAAAUUUAGUUCUGUUUGGGCCUGAGUUUCUGGAGGAGGUCGAGAACUGCUAUAUGGAUGGUAGAUAUCCAAUUAAUUGGAGGAAAAUUGCGGCUGGAAUCUUGCUAAGAACCUACACCUGCUUGGGUUAAUACUGUAGAUUAGACGAGUGUUUGGGUGGUAUGUGGUUACGUGUCGUUAGGACUUGGCCGAGAGCUGUACGGUGCUUAUUGUUUUUUUUCUCGUUGGAGGUAAGUAAUUAUAUCACAUUAGUCAGGAUAUUAAAUACAUGCUAUUAUUUAUUAUUAUUUAUAGCUAGCUCUAUUGUCAGGUGGUUUCUAAAUUUACUUUGAAAGGUAAGUUGGAGUAACAUUGAUGAAUACAUACAUAAUAUUCAUUUUUCUUUUAUUGAAUUAAAACCUUUUCUUUCAUGAUCUUGUUGUAAAAGAAAUGCCUUUGAGAAGUUCAUGAGUUCAUAUGUGAUAUAUAGGACCUAACAUGUAGGGAAAAUCCUCAACCAACAGGAUCUGAAGAUUUUUAUUUUAUUUUACAAUCUCUUUAUUACUUUUGCAAGGUUUUCCUAGUUUGGGUGAACUUCUUGCAAAAAAAAAAAGAAAAAAAAAGAAAAAAAAAUUGACGUUUUAGUCUUUUUUUUCCCUAAUUUCUUUUGUCAUUAGCAGACUAUGUGUUGUUAUUGGUGUUCUAAUGGAGUACUGAAGGGACAGACCACAAGAGAUCAGAGAUAAAUUUGUUAUUCAUCUUGGAAUCAACUCAAGUGAAGGAGGAGGGGAGGAGGAGGAUGGUGGGUGAGGUCCAGCAGGCAAGAGAGUGCAACGUGGAAAUGAGCAUCUUCCAAGGUUCAGAGGGGAUGGCCGCGUUCAGGAAAAUCCAUUUAUAUAUGUUUAGAUAAAGAGCACACCGGGGAUCAGGAAGAUAUCGGCACAGGUCCCGAUCAAGAUCCCGUUCUCGGCACCACAGCCGAUCAAGAUCCCGUUCUUGAGGAAUGGGUUCAGAAACUUGUAGAUGAAUGGGCUGUGGCCUCUGCUCGGCAGAGCCACUAAGUCCGACACAAGGAGAUACACAGGAGGUCAAGCAUUACCUUGGUUAAGAGAAAAAAUUCUCUUGCAGCUUUCCUGGUCAUAGCGUACCAGGAAUCCCUUAUGCUUAACACAUCCACUGGAAACAUUUGCUUUAUACUUCAGUGAUUCAGAAAUACAUUUAAGAAAGUACAGAUAUAUUCAGUUUUUGAAACAAUUUAGAUAAUCAGAUUUUUUUCUUUUCUUUUCUUUUUGUCAGACAUAUUUUCCUGCUUCUCAUUAAGAAAGAAAAACUUUAAAUUGUCUGCAUAGUUUUUUUUUGUACCUCCCAGAUGGCUGAUUACUUGCUAUGGUAUUCAACUGAGAGUUGGUUUAUGUUUUGUAAUGGAAUUUAUUUUGUCUUGAAUUGGUUUUCAAAUAUUAGAAAAGAAAUGCUCCUUUAUUCUUAGGGAGAGAAAGAUAGAAAAGAGAAAUUGCAUUUUUUUUUGAGGCAAUCAUCUUCAGUUUAUUAAAAAAAAAAAAAAAAAAAAAAAAAAAAAGAAUGUAGCAAAAGGAAAUGAAUAUAAGGGGGUUAGAAAGCAAUAUUGCAGGUGAUCAUCCUGCAAUAUGCCGUUGUGUUUAUUGGUCAUAUGUUAUAAAAAUAUAAUUUAAAGAGAGCAUCCAUAUGCAUAAGAUUUAUCAGUUAUUAUACAAUUAAACUUUAAAAAUUCCAACAGUUUGGCAUUAUACUUUGAAGAAUGCUAUAUAAUAUGAAUUUUUAUUUUGUGUUGCUAUUACUGAUUCAACAGUGAUUAAUAAUUUUUGGUGGUAAGUCAAAAUUGAAUAGACUUAGAAAAUUAUAGAUGUGAAUGAAUUUUGUGUGCGUGCAAAUUUGUUGUAGAGUGAAAAUAACUGAUGUAUUUUGGUUGUAUAAGUGUAGUAAUAAAUAUGAAAAUACAAAA